rnacentral:rRNA from 1 species
UACGUAGGGGGCAAGUGUUGUCCGGAAUCAUUGGGCGUAAAGCGCGCGUAGGCGGCCCUGUAAGUCCGUUGUGAAAGUCAAAGGCUCAACCUUUGAAAGCCGAUGGAUACUGCAGGGCUAGAGUCCGGAAGAGGCGAGUGGAAUUCCUGGUGUAGCGGUGGAAUGCGCAGAUAUCAGGAGGAACACCAAUAGCGAAGGCAGCUCGCUGGGACGGUACUGACGCUAAGGCGCGAAAGCGUGGGGAGCGAACAGG